UACGUAGGGUGCGAGCGUUGUCCGGAUUCAUUGGGCGUAAAGAGCGCGCAGGCGGCUUGGUAAGUCGGAUGUGAAAUCCCGAGGCUCAACCUCGGGUCUGCAUCCGAUACUGCCCGGCUAGAGGUAGGUAGGGGAGAUCGGAAUUCCUGGUGUAGCGGUGAAAUGACGCAGAUAUCAGGAGGAACACCGGUGGCGAAGGCGGAUCUCUGGGCCUUACCUGACGCUCAGGCGCGAAAGCUAGGGGAGCGAACUGG
rnacentral:rRNA from 1 species